UUUUCUCCAUAAGCACUAGCAUCAACUCUUGCACAUACGAAUGGAAGGGAAUCAUAAUAGAGUCGACAAACUAGAAUAGGCCUAACUCCAUUUCAGCUGAGGCGAAGUCCUCCAUAUUUCAGAAGAGUGAACAAAAUUUCAAAUAGGCAUGCAUGUCUAAUGCGACAUUAUCAUCAGUCCAUACAGAAGGGAGCUAACAUCUUUGAAAAGUUUCCCCAGACCUAAGUGUUCGAUGAGAUCCUCAAGAUAUUAAAGAACUACUAAAAUUUGAAGCAUCGAAAGAGCUGGAGGUGAUUAAAAUGGUGAAGCAGUGUGAUCUAGACUAGUUAAGCCUCCUGCACAUUCAACACCUCCAUAGCACUCGCCUUUCGAGAAAUUCCAGCAAUGACAGGUGCAGGUGAUGAAAUGCAUGCAUAUUUUUAACUCAUCAGAGUACAAUGUAGUGCUUAAUUAAGAACUCUCCUGCCGAAGUUACUGAGAUGGUGAAGCAUUGCAACCUCAGCCGUAGAACCUCACAAACGUGCCAAAACCUGGUGCCAAAACCACCUGGAAAGCCAUGGACAGCCAUGGACACAUGGCCAGUUCCUUCGUCAGGAGCUUUUGCUUGCCACAUACUCGACACGAGAAAUGGACAAGGUCAUGGAAUGAGAGGUUGGCAACUCCGUGGUGCAGAAAAAAGUAGCAGCCACCCUCAAACAUGUGAAGGAAGGAGUGGAGGCUGGGAAUUCUGAGGCUUGCAACAAUCAUUACCUUGAGCCUCCCUCAAAAUGAUAGCUUUCACUCGUCGCCUCAAGGUUAUCGCUGCCGUCUAACAUACCAUUUUCAUAUGCUAUAUCUACAUCAUCUUCUUAUGGAUAUGGAUGCUGUUACUCGGGUUGCAGGCUAAAUGGCAUGGCAUGGAACUCAAAACUGGUGUGCCGAACCCAAGCUUGCCAAGCUCCAUCAGCAGUUGGUGGUCGAUGGAUGGUUUGCAAAAGGAAACCCAAGAAGAUUAUGCCAUGGAUGAAACACUAUGAAUGCUAGCCAGUCCACAACAUGAAACACUAUGGAAUACAUGUGCGUUUGAUCUUAAAGAGGAAC
rnacentral:lncRNA from 1 species